rnacentral:tRNA from 11 species
GCGGUCGUCGUCUAGUCUGGUCUAGGACAGCAGCCCUCCAAGCUGCUGAUCCCGGGUUCAAAUCCCGGCGACCGCA